CAGUAUUUUACAUGUUAUUAUAUUUUAUAUAUGUAUAUGUUUUAUAUAAAUUAUAUAUAUAUAUUUAUAAAUCACACACCCUCCCACAUGGGGUUGUUCAUGAGAGUCAUUCUGUGCAGACAGAUGCUGGCAGUAUCUCAUUCAGUAAAACUACUGGUACAACUUUACAAUAAUGGUACAUGAAUUAUCAAUUCACACAUGACUUCAUGCAUGAAAAAGCAUGAAAUC